UACGAAGGUCCCAAGCGUUAUCCGGAUUUACUGGGUUUAAAGGGUGCGUAGGUGGGUAAGUAAGUCAGUGGUGAAAUCUUCGAGCUUAACUCGGAAACUGCCAUUGAUACUAUUUAUCUUGAAUACUUUGGAGGUAAGCGGAAUAUGUCAUGUAGCGGUGAAAUGCUUAGAUAUGACAUAGAACACCAAUUGCGAAGGCAGCUUACUACACAGUUAUUGACACUGAGGCACGAAAGCGUGGGGAUCAAACAGG
rnacentral:rRNA from 1 species